CCCUUAGAUGUUCUGGGCCGCACGCGUGCUACACUGAGUGGAUCAGCGGGUCAGGUUGCGCGAAAGUGUUUCCUAAUCUUGAAAUCCGCUCGUGAUGGGGAUUGACGGUUGCAAUUUUCCGUCAUGAACGAGGAAUACCUUGUAAGCGCGGGUCAUCAUCCCGCGCUGAAUACGUCCCUGCCCUUUGUACACACCGCCCGUCGCUCCUACCGAUUGAGUGGUCCGGUGAGGCUUUGGGAUCUGAGCAAAGAGAACGUUUCGCUCGUUUUGCCCGGAAAACUCAGUCGAACCUUAUCAUUUAGAGGAAGGAGAAGUCGUAACA
rnacentral:rRNA from 1 species